UAAGGCAUGCUUGGGUAGGAUCUUUACUUUAUUAAAUAGGGGUUCAAAAUAAUCCAAGCACUCUUACUGCAUCAGGUUUUGAUUGCUCUGAAAUAUUACCUAGACUAACAAAUCAUGGAUUCUGAUAACUAGGAACUGCAUUAAGCAGUGGAAGACCUCAUGGCAAGCUGGAGUGCUUGGGACCAAUUUCCCUCUCCCUCCGAAAUCAAACUACACAUACAAGUUCCCAACUAUAGGAUCAAAUUGGGGCCUACACAUAUUUCCGGACUACUUUAAUUCAAAGAGCUGCUGGUGUGUUUGGAAAUUGGAAGGCAGAAUGUCUAUGCGAAGCCCAUAGUACCAGUCCCAUAUCCUCAACUGUUUGCAUUUUCUUUUCCAGGUCCAACCUGCUGAGAUUGACGAUGCACAAUGAUUGUCAGUUGCAUAGUAUGUUAACUGAAAGUGCUGAAAAAUUCCACACUUCAAUUUUGAACUUUGUUUCCUAGGUCAACAGAUGACAAGGGACUCAGGGAGUGUAAGUGCUUUUUAUGCAAGAGAUCUUCAGUCAUGGUGACUGCAAACUCCACUUUACUUCUUUUCUGCAGGCUGAUGUGAGCUAUCCUCUACAGAUCUGUAAAUGGUGCUGCUCAUGGGUUAGCUUGGUUUGCUUCUACUACUUCACUUUCUCAAGUAAGUUAGGGACUUCUCAUCCAAAUUUAAAUUUUGGUCUUAAUCCUUAUUUCGAAUGAAUAUCAUAUACCCAGACUGGGUAUCACUUGCAGUAGUAUCAUCCUUGUGCAGUCCUGUACCCACCUUCCACCAAGAACACCUUCAUGGGCUACCCAAGGUUUAUAUGAAAUCUAAACUCUUAGUAACCUAAAAUGGAACUUCUUUUCCAUGGAAUAAGAGAAUAUACCUAGUUUCAACAAAUGACUCAAUUUAUCACCUCGCAUUUCUGGUAGGUAGCAACUAACCGAUUAUACAGGUGAUGAAGGAAACCCAAGGCUCUAAUUUCUGAAGGAUGCAGGAACUAUCAAGACAAUAGUUAACCCAAGACUAAGUACAACAAUAGCUACCAAAGCCUUAUCCCAACUUAAUGGGGUCGGUUACAUGAAGGUUCCAAGCAAGGAUGAAAGCAAGGAUUCAUGCAAAAAGAUUGACUGGUUAUGGCUGAUUAUAAUAAAGUGCUGGUUGUCUACCUGAUGCACCACUAUAGAUCCUACAAGACUAGGUAUGAGGCUCCUGAAAUUUCAACCUGAGGAUAUGGAACAUAAAGACAUGGAUUCAUUUGGGCAAGCAAUUUUGACAAAAGCUAGAUCAAUAGUAACAAAAUUUAAGGCUACUUGUACACUUUCAUUAGGCCUGAGAGGUGCUUCAUUCAGUGCAUUUCCUGUUCUUGUAAUUCCCAUGGUGGUAUCUUCAAGGAUUACGGAUUUAGAGGAAUGGGUAUUGAAUGGACUGAACUUUUCUCAUUGAAAAGUGGCGACAGUUGGAGUAGGAGCUCAAUGGAUGAAGAGGGUGUGAAGUGGAGAAAAGUUUUAUUGUCUCACAGAGCCAUGGGUAGAGGUAGCAAUACAUCAUAGACAAGUUCUCUGUCUCUGUCUCUGUCUCUCUCUCUCCUUCCCCCCCCCCCCCGGGUGUGUGUGUUCCAUUGAUUUUCUUCUGUUUGUUGCCCCCCCUGUUCUUGCAGUGUUGCAGUGUCAACUAAAUGGAAUCAGAUUGAAGUUUUUA